AAUCCUGGCUCAGAUUGAACGCUGGCGGCAGGCCUAACACAUGCAAGUCGAACGGUAACAGAAAGCAGCUUGCUGCUUUGCUGACGAGUGGCGGACGGGUGAGUAAUGUCUGGGAAACUGCCUGAUGGAGGGGGAUAACUACUGGAAACGGUAGCUAAUACCGCAUAACGUCGCAAGACCAAAGAGGGGGGACCUUAGGGCCUCUUGCCAUCGGAUGUGCCCAGAUGGGAUUAGCUAGUAGGUGGGG
rnacentral:rRNA from 1 species